GGCCCACCAGCUAGCUCAAACCCUUUGAAUGUAACAAUUAACCAUUAAUUAACCUCUGAUAGCUUAACACAUUACUGAGCCAAACCAUUCUACCACCUAAGUAUGGGAGACAGAAAAG
rnacentral:rRNA from 1 species